CACAAAAAACAAAAUAAAAAUAAAAAUAAAACAAAAGGGAGACUCCCUUUCUCUGCUAGGCCGACGGCCUCCCAAGACCUCCGUCGCGCCACCAACGUGGUCGGCGACCGGUGCCGGAAAGUGGUCCCGUUAGCCCCUGUUUCACGGUAUCCUUGAAAGCCAAAGCUCUCUCAACCCACGGGAGUCGAAAACAAAGGAGGUUCACGACCGCUUGGACCCGAUUCGGGCGACGGAGGAGAGAUCCUCCGACGGCGCAACCACGGCCACCCGGUGUCAGACGAGGCCGACGGCUGUGGUCAGAAGCGUGCAUGAGUGAGCCUGGCAGCAUGCGGCGCUUGGAGGCUUGGGGGCAAGCAGCAGCUAGGGUUCUCUGUUGCUGAAAUUUUUUAAUUUCCUGGGCUAGGGUUUAGGUUUGUUGUGUCUAAUGUAACUGGACUGAUUAUUUUUUGUUAAUUUGGGCUGUUUCGGGUUCUAUUGGGCCACGGGCAGAAUUUGGGCUCUACACCUUUCAGAAAAAUACACGCCAAUCGAAUAUGUGGGCAGAUAAA